CCUGACUGCUAUCGGAUUGAUACUAAGCCAUGCGAGUCAUUGUAGCAAUACAAGGCAUACUGCUCAGUAACACGUGGAUAACCUGCCCUACACUGGGGGAUAAUCUCGGGAAACUGAGCAUAAUACCCCAUAGACCACUACGCCUGGAACGGUGAGUGGUUGAAAGCUUCGGCGGUGUAGGAUGGGUCUGCGGCGUAUCAGGUUGUAGGGGGUGUAAUGGACCUCCUAGCCAUCGACGCGUACGGGUUGUGGGAGCAAUAGCCCGGAGACGGAUUCUGAGACACGAAUCCGGACCCUACGGGGUGCAGCAGGCGCGAAAACUUCACACUGCAGGAAACUGUGAUGAGGGAACUCCAAGUGACUGCACAAUGUGUAGCCUUUUCUUGAAUUUUAAUAGUUCUUGGAAUAAGGGCUGGGAAAGACCGGUGCCAGCCGCCGCGGUAAUACCGGCAGCUCGAGUGGUCGUCGCUUUUAUUGGGCCUAAAACGUCCGUAGCCUGUUUGGUAAAUCUGUGGGUAAAUCAAUCCGCUUAACGGAUUGAAUUCUGCAGAGACUGCCAGACUAGGGACCGGGAGAGGUAUGAGGUACUCUGGGGGUAGGGGUAAAAUCCUGUCAUCCUCAGAGGACCACCUGUUGCGAAGGCGUCAUACUGGAACGGAUCCGACGGUCAGGGACGAAGCCUAGGGGCACGAACCGGAUUAGAUACCCGGGUAGUCCUAGGUGUAAACGCUGUGGAUUUGGUGUGUGGGGUCCGCAAUGGGCCCCAUGUGCCGGAGUGAAGAUGUUAAAUCCACUGCCUGGGGAGUACGGUCGCAAGGCUGAAACUUAAAGGAAUUGGCGGGGGAGCACCACAAGGGGGGAAGCCUGCGGUUCAAUUGGAGCCAACGCCAGAAAUCUUACCCGGAGAGACAGCAGAAUGAAGGUCAAGCUGAAGACUUUACCAGACAAGCUGAGAGGUGGUGCAUGGCCGUCGCCAGCUCGUGCCGUGAGAUGUCCUGUUAAGUCAGGUAACGAGCGAGAUCCCUGCCUCUAGUUGCCACCAUUACUCUCAGGAGUAGUGGGGCGAAUUAGCGGGACCGCCGCAGUUAAUGCGGAGGAAGGAAGGGGCCACGGCAGGUCAGUAUGCCCCGAAACUCUGGGGCCACACGCGGGCUGCAAUGGUAAUGACAAUGGGUCCCGAAUCCGAAAGGAAGAGGUAAUCCUCAAACAUUACCACAGUUAUGACUGAGGGCUGCAACUCGCCCUCACGAAUAUGGAAUCCCUAGUAACUGCGUGUCAUUAUCGCGCGGUGAAUACGUCCCUGCUCCUU
rnacentral:rRNA from 1 species